CCGUGCUCAUAGCCUUUUCGAUUCCUGUCGAUCUCUAUGACACUUGGAUCGAAAGACUGUAAGUUGUGGUGUUUGCUUAGAAUGAGUUAGAGUCCAAGCCAUUUAAUAAAGCCGUACAGGUUGACUCAGUUAACCCGGGAAGUACCGGCUAGGCUAAGACUCCAGCUUGUACUUAGUGAACAACCAUUCCCGUUUCUUUUAGCCCAGAGAUCGGACAUCCGCCGAGAGGGCUAAGCCGUUUUCCUUUCGUUGCGCUUUUAGAGUAGUUGUUCCUCAGUGUUGUGUCGUCUCUUUUCGCGAUCUUUCUAGGUCUAGUGGUUUGAUUGUUUCGCCUUGAUUGUCGUUUACGAGGUAGUUGCUUCGGUUAGCGAUGAUCGAAUCGGAACCAGUCGAAGGAAGGACAUGCAGAUAGGAGAAAGACCUUGGAUGAGUACAACUACAAGUGAACUGAGGAUCCUGGAAAUGUCACUCGACAGGUGCCACGUCCCACCCAACCUCGUAGAAUCCUAUUAGACAUGCAAUAUUAUAGAUGCUAGUGCUUUACUUUUAUGCAAAUGAACUAUGAUAGGUUGCAUGGUAGAAAUGCUUGUGAGCCAUUGCCUUGUUGCAACCUAUAACCCUCGCACACCCGCUGUUAGGUUAGAUGCUUGCAUACUACUUGCUACUGCUUCUACUACGCAUUAUAUCUGUGAUGUGAUGCAUUGUGGAGGAUUGGAUGUGAGUGGAUAAGGCACGUGUGUCGAUAACUGGUUAAGAAAUGGAUAAUGGAUAUGGGGAGAUCUUGGCGUGUGUCUUGGGUGUGUGGUGAGGGUCGAGUCGACCGAGCAGGAUUUACGACGAGUCUUGGGACAAGUCUUGCCGGGGAACGCUACCUGGGCGUUCUCCAUGAGAGAUACCUGUGGCGGGUACAUGUGACAGGGAGAGGUCCCGGAGUGGAGUGUCUUCGUGGGACGAAGCACCGGGAUGGGAGGUGCUGUAUAGCACGGGGUAGCCGGGUGUCCCGUCGAGAGGGGCAUCGGCUGGCCCCUCGUGAAGAUGUCCUGUUCGGUUACCCUAAGGACUGAGAUGUUCUGAGAACCGGUUCGUAGGAAGCCUUACACGCCACUCGCCUUAUUAUGGUGCGGGACGGAUGUACGACCAGCUAGUGCGGUGCCACUACUACUAGGUUGAUAGCGGAUAGUGUAGGGAGGUACGGGCAUGAGGACCCACACCCUCCUAAGACAGCGUAGUGACCCUUGGGGGCCCGGUACUACGCCUCACAGUCUCAGCAUGCCGGUGGUACUCCGGUAUGGCCCCAGUCCUGAGUGGUAGGGUGGCAUCGUAUUUAGUUGGAAGGCAGCCCGGGAUCAGCCUAGACGAGCCGGUUCGUCGAUGAUGGUGAUCUUGUGGUUAGUGUAAACCUCUGCAGAGUUUGGUUGAUCGAUCGAUACAUAUGCCGUCUUCUCGGCUAUGGACCUUUCCUAUGAUCCGCUUCGCUUGACUAGUGAGAGGAGUCCUUUCUACCUUCCCCUGGGUUUGUGUUGGAUCCGGCGUUGGCCGUUGAGGCAAGGCACGAGCGGGAGUCGUACUUGCCGCCUAGAGAGUGAGAGUGUGGUGAGAUGUGUGUGAUGGGAUGGAUGGAUGGAUGUGUGGAUGAGAUGGAAUAAAACUUGAUGAAUUAUUAUUAUAAAAUAUUGAUGAACUUGCAUAGGAAAAACUACAGCUAUACAUAGGCCUCUUGAUAUACCCUUUGCAUUUCCACCUACCACAAAGCUACGCAAAAGCAUAGGGUGGGAGCCAGUGGCCAGUACAAAUCGUACUGAAAAUUGUUUAGCAGGUUUUGAACGUGAUCUAUGACGAUAACUACGGAGAAUAGAAGGAUUAGGUGGUCUCGUUCCUGCGCUCAAGUUUGGUUCAGAGAUGAAGGCUGCGCCCGCUGAUAAACUACGCCGACUCUGAUGAUUGUCCGUGAAGGAGGAGCCUUUACCGCUGUCGCGCUACAUCGACUCUGAUAAAGACUCGCGUGUGUUCUCGCUAGAAAAACGAUGUAAUAGGCUUGUUGACCAAGAGUUGUAAAGUAAAUGUGUUGUAAUCUUGUUUCUCACGAUGUAUGACUACGAUAACAGCUGAUAUAUGAUAAUGCGAUGGUUCAAUUUUUGAAUUAUCACAUUAUAAUUCGAAUCUGUGGAUUUUUCCCUUUGUGGAAGAAUCUAGGUCGUUUCAGUUGGUAUCAGAGCCAUACUUGACCCUAGGACGAGACCUUUAGGACCAAACGCUAGUUUAGAAGCCAAACAUUCUAUCUUUUGUAGAGUUAUAGAUGCUAACACUUGUUUUCCCCCCCUCCGCCUUGAAUUCUACUGCUAACUGACCUCCCUGUUUCAUAAAGUUGACCGUUGGAAUCUUUUCCCAUACCCGCCCACGCUAGAUCGGUAGUCGUGUGAGACUUUGAAGGUCUGUGAGUCGCCUCAAGUCAACACUAUGCAUUAGGAGUUGUAAUGCUGUUUGAGUGCUCGGAUCUUAAGUUGUUGCAUUCCUUUGGCUUCUUGUUGUCUGAGUGUAAGUCAUAGAACUUGUUUUAUGCGAGAAAGACUCUGGUUUCCGUCCAACCUAGUCGGCUAAACCUAAGACCGUCCCGAGACUAGAUAGGUGGCCCUGACUAACAAAGUUAAAAGUUAGGUAAAGCUGUUGCAUCAUGUGUUGCUCGCCUAUUUCAAAACUGUUUUUGGCUUCCAAAAUGAACCUGUCUUCAAAAUUUUCUCUCCUUUUGGUUAAAAUGUCCCCUCUCUAACAAAAGCAUCCUUGUUUCAAAAGGAAAAGUGUUUCAAAACUCUCUUAAUAUCUUUCAUUUUCACAAAGAGAGCCAUUUUAACCCUUUUCUCAACUCAAUUUUAUUCAAACUCUAUUUAUGAAAUGAUUUAAAAAUAAGUUAUCUUUCAAAAGGUAUGACAAAAUCGCUUCAGAAAAACAAAAGUUUUGAUUUUCAACAACAAAGUGGUUUUCAAACCAAAGAUUUGGCUCGGCUUUGUUUUAAAGGUCUUUGAUUUUAUCUCGAGAGCCAAAUUCCUUUUUAAAAAUCAACCUUCUCUUAAAAAGAAAAAGGAAUUGCCAGUGAUUUAUUAAACAAAACCAUUGCGAAAAGAUUUUUGUUUGCAGCCUUCUAAAAAUUUAGCAAAAACAAAAUGAUCUUACAAGAUUUAAAAGAAAAUGUUUUUGUUGUUAAAGCUUUAUAUUUCAAAAGAGAGAAAUGAUUUUUAAUUAUUUUCAAAACUAGUCUGUUUAAUUCAAAUAAAAGAGAACGACACCUCAUUUAAAAAAAUAAAAGAGUUUCAAAGUCUCUUGAUUUGAAAUCUUUUACAUUAAAAAUCUUAAAAUAAUAAUAAUAAUAAUAAAAAAAUAAAAGAGUUUUAAAAUCUCUUGGUUUAAAAUCUUUUAUAGCAAAACCUUCAGAAAAGUUGGUUUUCAAAACUUGCACUGAUUUCGACCCUCUUCAAAAGCUCUCUUCAUUUUGAAGUCAAAAAAAAAAAACCUUUGACUUUGUAAAAGCGAUUUCACCCUAUUUUUGAAACCUGUUUCCCAAAAAAAUCUCUCCCUUCAAAAGCCUUUUUCAAAAGGUGAUGCAUGAAAAACAGCUGGUGAAAGCCAACAACCCUAGCUAUGUUUAAGCCUGCCAUACUCUCUUUGAGAGCCAGAUGUUCAUCAACCCCGUGCGAUUCUUGGACACCCAUCGCCCUGAUGUGAAAAUUUGGAUGCCCAACGACUGCAAGUGAGCCUUGCAUACACUUGGAACAAGAGUCACUCCCAUUUUGGAAAAAGUUUGUGGAGCGAUCAUACUAAAAGCAAAACAACUCAAAAGUAAGAAGAACUUCUGAAACGACGCCCUCGUUUCUCCACCGACCGAGCAACGCCUAAAUCUCGGGGACGAGAUUCCUGUAAGGUGGGUGGACUGUAACAUCCCAGAUUUUUUUUACGAAAGCCAAAAAUACGAGCUUUUUAAAAUUUUUCCUGUAAUCGUGUGAAGCAUAUAGUUUUUAGGUCUAACUCGAUUCUAACCCGCUAACAAGUCGUCGCAUUCAUAUAGAAUUGUUUGUAGGCGAGUGCUUUUGUUCGUGAGUCGUCUUGAGUUGGGUCUUGUUUAAGGUUUUGAGUUUCUUUUGGAGUGCACAAAUCCUUAGCAAAGUAUUCCCAAAUCUCCGUUGAGCCUAUCUCAAAGGCGAAGCGAAUCCUUUCUCAAUCUUUUCAUUGGAGUACGUCUCAAACUCCUUUAAUCCAUUUUGAACUCUUUUCCAAAUUCCCUUCUCCAAAACUUUUCUCUUGCUGAUCUCAUCACCAAAUCUCUGCCGCUAAAUCUAUCUUAAAUUCGUGGUGACUCAUCUCAAUCUCUUUUCCCUUUCCCGCUCAAUCAUUUUAGCAAAUAGUGGAAAAUCCUUCAAUUCCUUUCUCCAAAUAGAAAUUGGAAUAUUCUUUUCCCUCUCUGUCUCCUUGAAAUAUAAAUGGGAAGAGCAUUCUUAUUCCUCUUGGGCUCAACCCCUCAACCAGCCCACCACUCCUUGCCCCUCUUUUUCCCCUUUUAAAUUUCACUCAAGCCCUUGCGUCAAAUUCGUAAAUGGAAAAUCCAUCUCCUUUCAUGGGCCAAUUCUUUCCCCUCCCCUCUGCCCCCUGCUGCGGCCCAGAGCGCUCCUUGGCCCAACCGGCGCCCUCCCCUUCCCCUUAGCCCAGCUGGAGGCCUGCCAGGCCCAGCAGCGAAGCCCACGCGCGUGGCCCAUCUCCCUCUGUGGCCCAGCCGCACCUCCCCUUGGCCCAACCAGCCGCUCGGCCCAGGCAGCGCCCCCUUCUCCCCAACCCUAGGAACCGCGCCGCUCCCAGGUAGAGCCGCCACCGCCGCCGCUCGGUGGAAAGGCCACGAGCGCCAGCGCCCCUCCUGUCCCUGUCCGCGCCAGCCCAGGAUUCCCGCCGCGUGUCCCGCUGCGGACACGGACGCCGAGGAUGAACGCCUCCACUCUGAAGCCCUAGCCUCGACGCCUAUAAAGAGCCCAGCCGCCGCCACGCCCUCGAGCUCUUCCCUAGUGGCGCCGCCGCAGUCCUCUGUUCCCUCCACCCAGCGCCGCCGCCCUCCGCCUUGUCCUCCAUGACCGGCGCCGCGACAACGCCUUCACGUCAAGCCUGGACGCCACCGAGGCCCCGGCGUCCUCCGCGACCGCGGCGUCGUGCGGACUCGCGACCGCGGACGGCCACGCGGAUGCCACGGCCGCACCGGGACGCAGGCGCUUGAGUUGUCCGCGACGAGCACCCACUGCGCCACCGAGAGCCCGAGACGACGGCGCCCUUGCCUCGACGGCUGACAUGACGCCCAGAAGCCACCUUCGCCGAGCCGUGGCCAGCCGCGACGCUGCCCUCGCCGCGUCGAGCUUCGACCACGGCUGGCCGCGCGGGCGCCACAGCACUGCCGAGCCGCCUCGGUGCCCCGCGACGCCGAGCACCGCCGCGCCGAGCUUCGACUGCGACCUUGCCCAGGAGCCCGCGGCGUCCCCAUCCUCGCCCGCGAGCUCUCCCCCGAGCCCCGUCUUCGGCCAGCACCGCGAGCACGGCGCCCCUCCGCGUCCGCGUCCUCGACCUCGCCACGACCUCGACGCCGAGCAGGAGCUCCGCACCCCCGCCGGAGCACGACGCUACGACCGUGCCGCGCCAAGCACUACGACCCCGACCCCGACGCAGUUCUGCGCCACCCCGUGACGUCGCCCACGCCCUCACCACCAGCCCCGGCCUCGCCCCCAAGCCCAGGGCCGCGCGCGACGCCGGCUCCGGCCACGGCCGACCUGAAGCCCGUGGCGUCCACGUCCGCGCUCAGGAGCCGCGACCACCGAGCGCGACGUCGGGCCCCGACGCGUCCCCGUCCUCGCCACGGUCACCGCGUCAAGCUCUUGUCCCUGUCUUCGCCAAGCCAAACCCCGGUGAGCUCGCCAAGACCAAAGUUUUCCCCUUCCUGCGUUCACCAUGCUGAGAUCGGCCUUCGUGCCGUGUUCUACACCUUGCAGGGAGGAUGUGCCCUUGGGGCACCAUUGCCGCAUGGCUGGACCACACUGCUGCCCUCGGCUAACCCCUGGACUCGCUGCAGCAAGCCGCAACCGCUUCCAACCAGCUGCAGCAAGCCACAGCUGGUCAGCGGCAGAUCAUAGCCGGAUCAGAGUGGCAGCAGCAGGUCUCCGCCACCUUCCUCGCGUUCGUCAAGGUCGACCUUUUUGCACUUAGUCGACGCCCUUCGCGACGUCGACGAAACCCUUGUUCUUUUCUCAUACCCUUGUAUGUUGAUGAUUCUUGAUCAUAGUCGUCUAUACAUGUCAUACAUCUCCGAUCUCGUUUAAUACAUGAUCUGUCUCUAUUAUAUCUCUGCCUGUGCCGUGCCUUCGUGCCGGUCUAUUUAUCUAUCUAUGAAUCUCUCUAACUCGUGCUAUGGAUGUUUGUGCUACUCCGAGUUGUCAUCUCCCUUGUGUUGUCUUUGGUUGAGUCGCGAUUCUUUGUGUGUUUGUUCUUGUCGUUGUGGACCGUGUCGUCGAGCCGGUUGAGAGAGUGACGUGUUUGAAUGUUGCGAUCGCGAGUUCGUCUCGCCAUGGUCGUAGUGCCAAGCAUGUCCCUACUCUCGUGUUGUCGAUGUUCUUUCUUUUUGUUAUUUGCCUGAGGACCGAGCCUUCGAGCCGGUCGGGAAAAUGGUAGUGCGUUUGAUCAUCUCGAUCGUGGGUUUGUCCCGUCGUGAUCUUGAUGCCGAGCGUAACUCGUUUUCUCGUGUUUAAUCGACUCUCUAGUGCCAUGAUCGUUAGCGACCCUAUUUGACCCACAGGCGUGGUCACCAUGGACUUGCUGUCGGUGCGCCUCCUACCCGCACCUGGCAAGCCACUCGUGACCUAGUUUAGUGGGAGACUAGCGGACGACAAUCGUGGGACUUAUGAAAGCCAACUCGUUAGGUGAAGAUCAUGGCCGCGAGUCCACCUCGCCAUGGUCAUCGGGCUUUACCUUGUUUCUCGCAUGAUUAUCUUAUCUGUAUCGUAUGCUUAUGCCACCUAGACCCGGGCAUUUCCCCUAGUUCCCGCGAUGACAACCGCAUCGCCUGGAACUAUAGGAAUGACCUUGUGCAGAUUCAAAAGCACCUAGGUCGUGAAGUGCUAUAAGUUGGAAUAGAUCGUGGGGUCGUAUCUCUUUUAUCCAACCGUUUUUCGUUCUAUGGCGUGUUGGUUGGAAGAAUGUGAUUUCGUUCUUCUCUCUUGGUCUCAAUCCCCGUCGAUCCAGUAAGAUGUAGAUUGAGCCCCUUUUACUUGUUUGAUGUUUUGUUUCCAAUCCCGCGAUUCCCGUCGUUGUUAUGGCGAGCGGAUCAAUGGAGAGUGAAACCCGUGUCUUUCUUGCCUUUUGGGUUCUUCGUGCUUAAACUCUUGUAUGCUUGUACCUAAUCGACCGUAGCAUUUCUUUGGUUCUCGUGGUGACAACCGCACUGCUAAGAACCCUAGGGAUGUCUUAGUGCAUUCAGUGUACCUAGGUUGUGGUACCCUACAAGUAGUUUGAGCACUCGUGAUCUUGUGUGUCACUCUUUCAGACUCCCCGUCUCUUACCAUGGCGAGUGGAUUGGAAGGAGUAGACCACUUUCCCUUUUCUUCUCUCCUUGUUCCACCCUCUCUUGGCUCUCGCCAACUACAAUGGCGUAUGGAUUGAGAGAGACCGGAACUUCCCGUGCUCAUAGCCUUUUCGAUUCCUGUCGAUCUCUAUGACACUUGGAUCGAAAGACUGUAAGUUGUGGUGUUUGCUUAGAAUGAGUUAGAGUCCAAGCCAUUUAAUAAAGCCGUACAGGUUGACUCAGUUAACCCGGGAAGUACCGGCUAGGCUAAGACUCCAGCUUGUACUUAGUGAACAACCAUUCCCGUUUCUUUUAGCCCAGAGAUCGGACAUCCGCCGAGAGGGCUAAGCCGUUUUCCUUUCGUUGCGCUUUUAGAGUAGUUGUUCCUCAGUGUUGUGUCGUCUCUUUUCGCGAUCUUUCUAGGUCUAGUGGUUUGAUUGUUUCGCCUUGAUUGUCGUUUACGAGGUAGUUGCUUCGGUUAGCGAUGAUCGAAUCGGAACCAGUCGAAGGAAGGACAUGCAGAUAGGAGAAAGACCUUGGAUGAGUACAACUACAAGUGAACUGAGGAUCCUGGAAAUGUCACUCGACAGGUGCCACGUCCCACCCAACCUCGUAGAAUCCUAUUAGACAUGCAAUAUUAUAGAUGCUAGUGCUUUACUUUUAUGCAAAUGAACUAUGAUAGGUUGCAUGGUAGAAAUGCUUGUGAGCCAUUGCCUUGUUGCAACCUAUAACCCUCGCACACCCGCUGUUAGGUUAGAUGCUUGCAUACUACUUGCUACUGCUUCUACUACGCAUUAUAUCUGUGAUGUGAUGCAUUGUGGAGGAUUGGAUGUGAGUGGAUAAGGCACGUGUGUCGAUAACUGGUUAAGAAAUGGAUAAUGGAUAUGGGGAGAUCUUGGCGUGUGUCUUGGGUGUGUGGUGAGGGUCGAGUCGACCGAGCAGGAUUUACGACGAGUCUUGGGACAAGUCUUGCCGGGGAACGCUACCUGGGCGUUCUCCAUGAGAGAUACCUGUGGCGGGUACAUGUGACAGGGAGAGGUCCCGGAGUGGAGUGUCUUCGUGG
rnacentral:lncRNA from 1 species